UGGGGAAUAUUGCACAAUGGGCGAAAGCCUGAUGCAGCAACGCCGCGUGAGUGAUGAAGGCCUUCGGGUUGUAAAGCUCUGUCUUUUGGGACGAUAAUGACGGUACCAAAGGAGGAAGCCACGGCUAACUACGUGCCAGCAGCCGCGGUAAUACGUAGGUGGCAAGCGUUGUCCGGAUUUACUGGGCGUAAAGGAUGCGUAGGCGGAUUUUUAAGUGAGAUGUGAAAUACCCGGGCUUAACUUGGGUGCUGCAUUUCAAACUGGGAAUCUAGAGUGCGGGAGAGGAGAAUGGAAUUCCUAGUGUAGCGGUGAAAUGCGUAGAGAUUAGGAAGAACACCAGUGGCGAAGGCGAUUCUCUGGACCGUAACUGACGCUGAGGCAUGAAAGCGUGGGUAGCAAACAGGAUUAGAUACCCUGGUAGUCCACGCCGUAAACGAUGAGUACUAGGUGUAGGAGGUAUCGACCCCUUCUGUGCCGCAGUUAACACAAUAAGCACUCCGCCUGGGAAGUACGAUCGCAAGAUU
rnacentral:rRNA from 1 species